AGCGGAGUAGAGCAGCGGCAGCUCAGCGGCCUCAUAAGCCGUGUGUCGAGGGUUCGAGUCCCUCCUCCGCCA
rnacentral:tRNA from 1 species